rnacentral:misc_RNA from 1 species
UUCUCACCACUUGCAGUAAUGUUUUCGAUAUAAUUAAGAAAAAGCGUCCAAUCUAAAAACUAUAUAGUUGUAUAUGUAACAUGUAGGUAAUAAUUAUAAAUCAUCUCUUUAAAUCAGGGCAUUAACAUUAUUUUUUUUCCACAGAUAAAACAGAAGAAAAAAAGUGCGAGGAAGAAAAAGGACCUCAAAUUUCAGAAAGAAACGUCUAUACACGUAUGAAAAAGAUAGAAAUGGAAUUGUAUAGAUUGAGGAAGAGUAAGGGUGAAUUCAAGAAGGAAAUGAAAGAAUUGAACGAUGUGUACUCGCACUAAAGAAGAGCUAUCGGUGAAUAUCUAUUACCGGCUAAAAUGGAUGAUGUAUGUAGAAGAUAAAAUGAUGGUAGUGGACGUUAAGCUGGCGAUGUACCACGAAAAUUCAAAGCGAAUACGUCGUCAUUUGGAGGUACUUCUACAAAUACAUUUGCUACUGCAGAUGGAUGUUAGUACUGUCAGCGAAGUUGUUAAAAGGCAUACAUUUUCAGUAAAUUCGACGUUCCAGGUUUGCAGCAUGUUCCGCCUAGUUUUGCUACUCAAACGCCAACUAUUUUCAAUAAUGGAUAGCAUAGAGUAAUUUUUAUUUUUAAUUUUGACUGUUAUUAAAACUUUUAAUGCCCUGUACCUCAUUAAAUAUUUACUUUCAUUAUUCACUCAUCAAAAUUAACAACAGAUCUUUUUUGUAGAUUAUCAACUUCUCUUCAACUUUUAUUUGAAACAUUUUUCUCUAAACUCAAAAUUACAGAAGUUACAAGCAAUUU